rnacentral:rRNA from 1 species
UACGUAGGGUGCAAGCGUUCAUCGGAAUUACUGGGCGUAAAGCGUGCGCAGGCGGUGAUGUAAGUCCGUUGUGAAAGCCCUGGGCUCAACCUGGGAAUGGCAGUGGAUACUGGAAAGCUAGAGUGCGGUAGAGGGUAGUGGAAUUCCCGGUGUAGCAGUGAAAUGCGUAGAGAUCGGGAGGAACACCAGUGGCGAAGGCAGCCCCCUGGGCUAACACUGACGCUCAGGCACGAAAGCGUGGGGAGCAAACAGG